rnacentral:rRNA from 1 species
CUGCAAGUCGUACGAGAAAUCCUGGGCAACUGGGAAAGUAAAGUGGCGCACGGGUGAGUAGCGCGUGGGUAACCUAUCCUUGAAUUGGGGAUAACUCCGCGAAAGCGGGGCUAAUACCAGAUAACAUUCCGGCUUCCACGGGAGUUGGAAUCAAAGUUGGCCUCUGCAUGCAAGCUAUCGUUUAAGGAUGGGCCCGCGUGCCAUUAGCUUGUUGGUAGGGUAAUGGCCUACCAAGGCAACGAUGGUUAGCUGGUCUGAGAGGAUGGCCAGCCACACUGGAACUGAGACACGGUCCAGACUCCUACGGGAGGCAGCAGUGGGGAAUCUUGCGCAAUGGGGGAAACCUUGACGCAGCAACGCCGCGUGGAUGAUGAAGGCCUUCGGGUCGUAAAGCCCUGUCAGGUGGGAAGAAACUUGUGGAUGUUAAUACCAUCCGCAAUUGACG